GUUUCAACAGUCUCACGACGUAUUCUAUACUCCUCUUGGGCACACACAGCAAUCAAAUCAUUCAAAUCCCAUUUGUCACGCUGGGCAUUAUAAGCAACUUUAAGCUGAUUAAACUGGUUAGGAAGGCUAUUAAGAAUAUGAUAGAUAAGAAAAGGCUCUGCAAUGGGAACUUUGAGGGCUUCCAAUUUAGAACUUAUGUGCAGCAUUUUCAUGAUGUACUCCCUAACUCCACAAACACCAUCA
rnacentral:lncRNA from 1 species